rnacentral:lncRNA from 1 species
AAAUAACGUUCCGAUCAACCUCGGACACAUGAUCAAAAGAUGGAACGAGAAUGCUAAUCUUAUCACGUGCCACCACUCCAAGGUAUGAUCGGAAGUCAUCUGCAUAGCGGCCAGUUGCCACACCCGUGGUGACAUUCACANUCACCGGAGUUNUUUCACCACUAUUUUUCCUUAUCAAUAGUUGUUUCAUCCUAGUGGGUCCUCUAGUGGAUCUGGUUGGGGGAGCCUCAUCCCCUGAAGAAUGUGGAUGAUCAACCAUAUAUCUGUCAAAAUAAAUAACAACAUUAAAUAUUAAUAAAAGACUUAUGUAAUAUCAUAUAA